GCGAGUGUGGUGGAAUUGGCAGACACGCAAGACUUAGGAUCUUGUGUCGCAAGGCGUGGGGGUUCAAGUCCCUCCACUCGCA
rnacentral:tRNA from 1 species